rnacentral:rRNA from 1 species
GACGUAUGGGGCAAGCGUUACUCGGAUUUACUGGGCGUAAAGGGCGUGUAGGUGGUGUCGAAAGUCAAAUGUGAAAGACCAUGGCUUAACUGUGGAACCGCAUUUGAAACUUCGAUACUUGAGUUCAGGUGAGGAGAAUGGAAUUCCAGGUGUAGGGGUGAAAUCUGUAGAUAUCUGGAAGAACACCAGUGGCGAAGGCGAUUCUCUAACCUGAUACUGACACUGAGGCGCGAAAGCGUGGGGAGCAAACAGGAUUAGAUACCCCCGUA